AGUCAUUUUCAUAAAUUGUCCAGUAUUUCUAGGUUCUUCCUAAUUAUUGCGAAAAUCGCUUGAAAAAUCAAAAAAUUUACUUCUCAAUCCCCCAACUGGAUACAAUUUGCUCUUUCAGAAAAUCCGCUAUACGUGAACCACUUGAGAAUCGGAACAAUAGUUCUGACAGAAAAAAAUCGCAUCGUAGUAAAAUAGAAACUUAAAAAAAAAAAUAGAGGCUUCGAUGACCAAUACUUCGAUAUGCCGUUAAGCGCAUUUUUUGCUUCUCUCG